UUCGGUAUCCUGUGUUGCUUACCUAUCGAAAGGAAUCCGACGGUUUCGUUGGUCCCUUUCCGCCCCAUGCCCUCGCGGGUGGUGGGGUGGACGUCAGGCAAGCCUCGUGUUCCCGGCACGCCUCGCCCAGUUGCGCGGCUGCCCAGGCCCACGGGGCGCAUUGCCCGUGCUCUCGGAUGCGGAACGUUACGCGCGGGCGUGGGGUCUUUUGGCUCCGUCGGCCCGAGCAACGCAUUUGUCCCUCGACACGAACGACCGUCGAACCCGUCUUGAGCGCGCGGCCGUACGGCCAGUCGGGUCUCAUGCGGGCGUCGGCGUCGCGAAGGAAUGCUACCUGGUUGAUCCUGCCAGUAGUCAUAUGCUUGUCUC
rnacentral:misc_RNA from 1 species